AUGGGCCAUGCUGAGGAGGGGGGCCACUGGACUUGGUCGGUACCGGGUGUGCGUGGGCUUCUGGGAGGGGCAUCACACCAGCCCUGCAUUUGCACAGCAUGCCCCCCACCGGACCCCGUCAUGGAGCAGCAGCCACAUGGCCCAAGCGGAAGGCGCCUCCUCACCAGCCAGCACCCCGUUUGCACGUCACUUGCCCGGAUCUCGGAAGAAGGUACAUUCUGGAACAUGGUUUUUAAAAAUCCUGGCUACACCAUGGCAGGCACAGUGCCAGGUGAUCUACAAGAAGCAUCUAUCAUAAUCCACAUCACACUCCAAGGAUCCAGAGAGAAUGUUUCCCCACUUUUAGAAGAGAACUAUGUCUCAGAAAGGUGAAAUUACUUUCCCGUGAUCCUAUAUUUUUAUUCAACCCAUCUCUCCCCAAAAAUAUCUAUUGAGAACCAAUUAGUAUGGCAGCCUGGGAUUGUAUCCCACACACAGUCUGGAAAGUUCCAUCCUCUGAGUGUCUCUCAGCCUCCUCCCCAUCACCUCACCAGCUGCAGUUUCCAUGGCAACAGAGCCUGCCUGAAUCACUGAGACCCGGUGAAUGAGAUUAAGUACCAGGGCAGAGUAAUGGAUCCCAGAACUGUCGAGCUGGAAAAGGGUGAGGUCUGGGGGAGGGCACAGGCUUUCUGAACCCGGGAGUGGGAUUUGGGUGUAUGUUUAGAUAACACCCCAAGUUUAAAUGGGCCCACUUUAAAAGAUGUCUUUGCCGAAGGGGUGGAGGAAGCUGCAGACACAAGUUGAGAUCACAAACAUCUGUUUCUCAGCAGCUGCCAGCACCGAUGACGUAAACAGCCUUUGUUUUAGCCAAUAAUCUGUUUUUUGUCUGACUCGUUCAUUCAGCAAAAUGUCUUUACAGAGUGAUUACUGUUCGGCAGACGCUGUUUUAGGUGGUGGGCAUCUAAAACAGUUAUACUCUUGGAGUUCCCUGGUGGCACAGCGGAUUAAGUAUCCAGCAUUGUCGCUGCAGUGCACUGGGUCACUGCUGUGACUCAGGUUUGAUCCCUGACCUAGGAACUUCCGUGUACCACCAGCAUGGCCCCCCCAAAAAAAUCAUAAAAUAGAUGUAGUCUUAAUUCUCAUGGGAGUUGGCAUCCUAUUUGAAAUAUAGUAAAUGCAAAUGUAUAUUUAAAUACAAGUACAUAUUUAUUUAUGUAUAAAUAAUAAACAAUAUAUGUGAAUAUAUAAUAAAGAAGUA
rnacentral:lncRNA from 1 species